rnacentral:rRNA from 1 species
GGCGAACGCUGGCGGCGUGCUUAACACACGCAAGUCGAACGGAAAGGCCCUGCUUUUGUGGGGUGCUCGAGUGGCGAACGGGUGAGUAACACGUGAGUAACCUGCCCUUGACUUUGGGAUAACUUCAGGAAACUGGGGCUAAUACCGGAUAGGAGCUCCUGCUGCAUGGUGGGGGUUGGAAAGUUUCGGCGGUUGGGGAUGGACUCGCGGCUUAUCAGCUUGUUGGUGGGGUAGUGGCUUACCAAGGCUUUGACGGGUAGCCGGCCUGAGAGGGUGACCGGCCACAUGGGGACUGAGAUACGGCCCAGACUCCUACGGGAGGCAGCAGUGGGGAAUAUUGCACAAUGGGCGGAAGCCUGAUGCAGCAACGCCGCGUGCGGGAUGACGGCCUUCGGGUUGUAAACCGCUUUCGCCUGUGACGAAGCGUGAGUGACGGUAAUGGGUAAAGAAGCACCGGCUAACUACGUG